rnacentral:lncRNA from 12 species
AUGGUGAAGCUCUGGAAAACAACACAUUUCUCUCAGGCUAUUUCAGCCAUUUCUCAGGGAGUAACGGAGAACAUAUCUUCCUUUCUCCAGGACAGCCCUCAGAUUUCUGAAGACAGCAGCCAUGGUGACAAGUUGUCUUUCCAGGUCAGGUGGCUGCAAUUCUUCCAGAUUUCUCUGGUUUCCACCCUUUCUGGACACACAGCUGCCUGCCAACCUUGCACUCAAGUUUUCAAUAUGGUACCUAAACCCUAAUGGGAAUGAGUUAAUGAGGACAAAACAGGAAGAAGCGACAUUGUCUACAUCUUGGAGUUGACAGCCCCAGUGAGGAGUUUAAGAUCUCAUUUUGCUACUUGUUGGGAGUAUACCUUGGACCACGAAUUUCCUCUUGACAGCUCAGUCUCCUCUCCCGGUGGGGACAAAAAUCCCUACUUCCUAGGGCCACCGAGAGAGCUGCAUGAGAUCAUUAUGGGAACACAUUCUGCACCUACGGAGGCCAACCCUUUCCUGGAGGAGUGGGGAGCAGCCUUGCACAGAAGGGGCUCAGCUGCCAGGAGAGCAGCACAUUAUUUGCAGUUUGGAUUCAAUUUCCUCCUGACUCUUCUUUUUGUUACAAACAUAAUAAAAGUGGAAGAGACAGAUGGCA